GCUUUACUGUAGCUUGGAAUUGGGUUCGGGCUUCGUUUGCGCAGGAUAGGUGGGAGGCGUAGAAAUAACCCUUGUGGGGGUUAAAGAGCCAAUGGUGAGAUACCACUCUAGCGAGGCUAGAAUUCUAACUUGCUCCCGUAAUCCGGGAGAAGGACAGUUUCAGGUGGGCAGUUUGACUGGGGCGGUCGCCUCCAAAAAGGUAACGGAGGCGCACAAAGGUUUCCUCAGGCUGGUUGGAAAUCAGCCAAAGAGUGCAAAGGCAGAAGGAAGCUUGACUGCGAGAGAUACAGCUCAAGCAGGGUGGAAACACGGUCUUAGUGAUCCGACGGUGCUGCGUGGAAAGGCC
rnacentral:rRNA from 1 species